ensembl:lncRNA
CUGUUUUUUAUUCCAAAAGAAUACAUUUGUUUAUUGUAUUUUUAACAGAAAAAUCAAGGUGUUCAAAUGAAAAUAUCUAUAUAUCUCUAUAUACGUAAAUGGGAGAAAUUGAAGCUUUGAAGAGCACAAUUUUUUUCAUGUUAUCUUUUUUUUUCCUCCUCCAAACUGGCAAGCUUUGCUGUAGUUGGAUAUCAAAAAUUGACACUGCUCCAAGCUUAACCCAUAAAGCAAUUCUCAAGUGCUUUGUACUGGUCAUUUUUAUCUACAGAAACAAGGGAAACUUCUUUCCCUUAAGGCAUCUUAAGGGAAACUCAAUCUAUAGUCAAAUACAUCUCGCUGUCAAAUUAUUAGAGCUUGUAUUUAUCGUUCCCGAAACUCUGGUACAAGUUAUCAAGCUUUUCUUCAGAUUGGUGAGAUAAGAGAGCAGGAGGGAAGAAGUGAGUCAUCACAUGCGUCCUCAUGUUCUGUACUGGUGAAUCACUGCAUGCUCAUUGCAUCACAGAUGUCCCGUGCAGCCACCAGGGUAGCUCUACUGUAGUCAAAUAUGCAUAAGCUUGUAAACGCUUGUACAUAAACAAACAAGAGUGACAUUUCCUUUUAUUUUACAUAGCUGCAUAGACAUAUGCCCCCAGUUUGGGUCUGGUACAGCUAACAUGCACAAGAUUGGCUUUCUGAAAACUUCAGCAGCUUCAAUACUGAUGAAACAAACAGUUUAAGACAGAGGGUCCCUGUGGUAGAAGCGAACAUGCCACGAAAGUUUCCCUUCCUGACCCACAGACCUCAGCUUUUUGGUUAUUUGACUUCAGCACAUCUCCAUCAGUACGUGCUCUAAUCAUGUCUUGCCGUUCUGUUCAGAGUCACAACAAAACACCAUGCACAAACAGACAGGAAAUAAAGAAAAUCACCCAGCAGACCCUUCUUUAAUGAAUCAUUUUUUAAAAAUUAGUCAUCCUUCUAUCACAAAGAGCAAUCAGUAUGGAAACCCGACAGCCCUUCCAGGAAAAUGGUGUACUUUUCUAACUCUCAGUCAUCGCUUCUCUCCCUGUUCCCAUAUGUAGAAUACAGCAUAUAUCACAUGAAUGCCUUAAGUAAGUAAAUAAAUAAUACACAAUUUAGGGAAGCAGCUUUAAAAGCAAAGCUGGACGUUACCACGUGACUCUGAAAUCACAGAGAACACGAAAGAACAAAGAAUGGAACCAGAGAAGCUCAAAAGAGGUGAAAAAGCCUUCGAUUAGAGAACCAAAAAUAGUCAUUGAACUUAGGUUUUGGUCAAGAACAGGUUUUCUAGCUGAAAAAGCAGCUACAAAGCAAGGAGAAGGUGCACUGUUGCCUGUGCCUUCUUCCUUCUGGCCAUGCCUGUGCCUGCUGCCCCUGCACUGAGCUCCUCCCUGGCCCAUGCUAGGACGGACCACGGGUUUGCAAGACAUCGAAGCAGGGACGCUGAUAAAACAGCGUCAGGGAAAUCCAAACUGUAGCAGAGAGACUGGCAAAACACUCAGCAUUAUUGGCUGGUAUUUCAUGUGCCUGCAGCCACAGCUCCAAGUCAAAUAUGCGCAGUCGUCCAUCACAGAAUCAGAGAAUAGUUUGGGUUGGAAGGAACCUUAAAGAUUACAGUUCCAACCCCUGCCGUGGGCAGGGCUGUCCCCCACCAGCUCAGGCUGUCCAGGGCCCCAUCCAACCUGGCCUUGAGUGCCUCCAGGAAUGGGGCACCACAGCUUCUCUGGGCAGCUGUGCCAGAGCCUCACCGCCCUCCAGGUAAAGGAUUUCUGUGUAACAUCUCAGGUAAAUUUCCCCUCUUUUAGUUUAAAACCAUUCUCCCUUGUCCUAUCCCUAUCUCCCUUUGUAAGAAGUCAGUUUCCCUCCUGUUUAUACGCUCCCUUCAAGUGCAGGAAGGCCACUAUGGGGUCUCCCCAGAGCCUUUUCUUCUCCAGGCUGAACCAGCUCAUUUCCCUCAGCCUUUCUUCACAGGGGAGGUGUUCCGGACCUCUGCUCAUCUUCAUGACUCUUCUCUGGACCCAUUCCAACAGUUCCACAUCUUUCCUGUACUGGGGGCCCUAGGCCUGGGCACACUACACCUCACAAGGGCAGGGUAGAAGGGGCAGUCCCCUCCCUUUCCCUGCUGCCACCCCUCUUCUGAUGGAACCCAGGACACCUUUGGCCUUCAGGGCUGCAAGUGCACACUUCUGCACUUGCUCACGUCCACCAUCAGGUUGAGCGGCCCCUCAGCAUCAGCUGGCUGGGUUGGCAAAGGCUUCAGUUUGCCUAUGAGAAUUCAGCUUUCCAAAAUCUGUGCAGCACUGAUGCAGGCCAGUGUAUGACUAACAGCAGCGUGGCUGUGAGCCGUGAUGGAUGCUGUCGCCCUCGCAACACAACAGAAACAAUAAGAUUGCCAAGUAACAUAAGUGAAAGUAAUUUGAUCUCUUUUCACCUGCCAAGCAAUCAAUUACUGGAAAAAUUAACUUGUUUCACAGCAGCUCAUGAGCAGAACUGAGCUAACUCGCAUCACAAGACCUGUCAGUGAACGCAGGCAGUACUUCGGGAUGGGACAGCAAUGUCAUGCUGGGCUGCCCUGUGUGGGUUUCCAUCAGGCAACUUCAGCAGUACACCAGACGGGCACAGUUAAGCCAGAUUCCUUCUGUUCCAGAUGGAGGAAACAAAGGUAGAACCAAAGUUAUCAAAUCCAGCUGUUCCUUCAACAUGCACCUCCUCAGCUGCAGCUGUUGCCUUCAGUGACCACAUUGCAAGAGCCUCCACAGCUUUGUAAUACCAAGUAACGCUCAGUGAUGCUCAAAUAACACUAAGUUAGCAGGUAACACAUGCAGUGCUUUGUACCUCCAUAAGCUACAAUAGAGGCACAAAUGGAUUCAAAGAAAUACCCAGCUUGCCAGACUCCUUCCUUGGUUAAUGACAGUAAUCCAAGGGGUUUCCACGAAUGUCAAGGCUGACUGUCUAUCAUAUGACUGUGCCUAAAGUAAUGUAUGUGACUGUAGGUUUGUUAAUUAUAUUUUAUCAGUGAUUUUAAGACAAAUCCACCACUGAUUAAAUCUCAGGAUUUCAAAAACAUGCAUUUAUGACUCAAUAGCCAAAAAAAAAAAAAAAAAAAAUCACCUAUUUUUGUAGUUUUCCACCAGAAAGCAAAGUGUUUUCUCUCACAGAAACUACAUGGGAACUUGUGAACUGGGCUUUCUCUCUUGGGAAAAAGAAAUAUAUCACUAAUAGUAAAAUUGAAUUUAAACUUUUCAACAUCUCAUUUUUUCUUUUGUAUGGCAGAAAUUAUUUACUAUGUAAGAAAACAUUUCAAUAUAAGGAAAAAAAAAACACAUUUUGAUUGAUCUUAUUUUUUCCCCAAACUUUUGACUUGAACACUGAGAGAGCUUAAUUUUCACUCUAAGAGAAAACUAUUUUUGAGAUCCUGGAAGCUCACAUGUCAUAUGAACUUCACUUUCUGUACAAUAUUUUUGUGAUCUUAACAUACAGAUGUUGCUUUCAUAACAGCAAGAAAGCAAAAUGACUAGAGAAGAAAACAGAAUAAAAUUUCCAUAAAAAUAGCAACAAGAAUAUAACAGGACAAUUAAUAAAUGUGGAAAACCACUAAUCUUAAUCUCUUCUGAAAUUUCUUCUUCAGCAGACUUUUGUUUUUUUGCCUGUUGGAAGUCUCACACACUCCUCUCCUCCACUGGGUGGCAUUACUACCUAGAGCUGCAGCAUUGGACUACAUGAAGUUGUCAAAAUGAAGUAAACAUCUCACAUACCUUCUUGAUCUCAAUCUAUGGAAUUAUCCCAUUUUCCUGAGAAAACCAUCUGAGCUAGUCUGCUGACAUGCAAAAUUGCCACUUUUGAGCCAGAUAAGUACCAUCCAAGUAUGUACACUUGGAUGCCGAGAAACACUUUAGGUCACAGCAACUCACCGCUUCUAGGAAAAGCACAAGAAACAGCAAUAACUGUCAACAAUCUUUUUUCCCCUUUACAAUGUUAAAAAAUAGGGGGUCACAAAUAGAAAAAAAAAAGGAGAUCCGGAGUUAUUAUGCGUGAAUCCAUACAUGCAAAUAUCAUCCAGAAAAGGUUUAGAUAAUAUAUUGAGAAGAUUUCAGAUGUAUUUUAAGUUUCAUUCUAACCUGGUUUGAUCGUAGGGCUUAGACCACAAUCCCUUUCCAUUUGCUUUCUUAACUUGUUCUCCUCAAAGCCACAACUCCUGCUUCUUUCAUCCAGAAACUCUACUGAUAAUUCCUUAAACAGACUGUCUUUAUGUGCACAUGCAAGACCCAACUCACAUUUAUGAACGACACGGAACUAUGCACUUUUGGUACAUCACAUGUACUUUAUUGCAAAGUUCUUUUCUCUUACUAUUGAUUUUUGUUCCAGGUCUUACACUAGCCUUGAAUGUCGUCACGGCUGGGAUUACGUGCACAGAGGAACCUGACCAGAACGAACCUUUUAGGAAAACAAAAACAAAGCCCAAACUUUCCAGUUUCACUGGAAACGACUGUUUACAUGCAUUGAUAGUGAUCGGAUAGUGACAGGACAAGGGGGAAUGGUUUCAAACUGAACCAGGGGAGGUUUAGGUUAGAUAUGAGGAGGAAGUUUUUCCACACAGAGGGUGGUGACGCACUGGAACAGGUUGCCCAAGGAGGCUGUGGAUGCCCCAUCCCUGGAGGCAUUCAAGGCCAGGCUGGAUGUGGCUCUGGGCAGCCUGGUCUGGUGGUUGGCCACCCUGCACAUAGCAGGG